rnacentral:rRNA from 1 species
GACGAACCGUGCGAACGUUGUUCGGAAUCACUGGGCUUAAAGGGCGCGUAGGCGGCAGGUCAAGUCCGGGGUGAAAGCCCCCAGCUCAACUGGGGAAGUGCCUUGGAUACUGGCGUGCUCGAGGGAGGUAGGGGCCCGCGGAACUUCUGGUGGAGCGGUGAAAUGCGUUGAUAUCAGAAGGAACGCCGGUGGCGAAAGCGGCGGGCUGGACCUUUUCUGACGCUGAGACACGAAAGCGUGGGUAGCAAACAGG